CCUACGGGAGGCAGCAGUGGGGAAUAUUGGACAAUGGGCGAAAGCCUGAUCCAGCCAUGCCGCGUGUGUGAAGAAGGUCUUCGGAUUGUAAAGCACUUUAAGUUGGGAGGAAGGGCUGUAGGUUAAUACCUUGCAGCCUUGACGUUACCGACAGAAUAAGCACCGGCUAACUUCGUGCCAGCAGCCGCGGUAAU
rnacentral:rRNA from 1 species